CCCCAAGGCCUGUGGGCAGAAGGGGGUGUAGCCUGCAGCCAGGGUUGGGGGGCGGAGGGAGCGCGGAACCCUGCCCUCCUGUCUUGCUCCUCCCUGCGAAGCAGGCCAGGGAAGGCUCAGCCAGGGCCGGGGCCUGAUCCCCUCUUGGCCUCAGGGUGACCCUCAUUUCGUAGGACAGACAGGGGAGGUGCGGGUGGUUUUGCUCCUGGGGACAGGCUGGCUGGGAGUCCUGGCCCCGGAGCCUGGGGGACACGGGACCCCGCACACUCCUGGGCUCUGGUGGGCGGCACGUUGCCCCCAGGCGGCUGGGCGGAGCCUCGGGGGCUUUGCGGCAGGGCUGGGUGCAGUCUGGCCGGCCUGGGUGAAGGCUGUUUUGAAGUGGAUCUUGAUCCUGCUCCAUUGCAUCACGGUUGUUGGGUAUUCAAAGAAGCCAGCGGCCCGCAGUCUCCCACUUGAGGAUGCUGUGCUAACCCCCCGCAGGUGUGCAGCUGUGGACGGCCGGGUUCCGUGCCAGGCCGGGGGACAGGGGACACCUGCUGUGGCUGGCCCUCGCCGCCACCGCGCAGCCCAGCGGCCGCUUCAUCCAAGGUGGCUCCCCCCAGUGCGUGAAGGCGCCCACGACCCCCCUUCCCCCAACCACAGGC
rnacentral:lncRNA from 1 species